CCUACGGGGGGCAGCAGUGGGGAAUAUUGGACAAUGGGGGGAACCCUGAUCCAGCCAUGCCGCGUGUGUGAAGAAGGCCCUCGGGUUGUAAAGCACUUUCAGUGAGGAAGAACGCCUGGUGGUUAAUACCCAUCAGGAAAGACAUCACUCACAGAAGAAGCACCGGCUAACUCCGUGCCAACAGCCGCGGUAAUACGGAGGGUGCGAGCAUUAAUCGGAAUUACUGGGCGUAAAGCGCGCGUAGGUGGCUUGAUAAGCCGGUUGUGAAAGCCCCGGGCUCAACCUGGGAACGGCAUCCGGAACUGUCAAGCUAGAGUGCAGGAGAGGAAGGUAGAAUUCCCGGUGUAGCGGUGAAAUGCGUAGAGAUCGGGAGGAAUACCAGUGGCGAAGGCGGCCUUCUGGACUGACACUGACACUGAGGUGCGAAAGCGUGGGUAGCAAACAGGAUUAGAUACCCCAGUAGUC
rnacentral:rRNA from 1 species